rnacentral:rRNA from 1 species
UAUGGUCACACCACCUUGAGCUCACUUGAUUGCAUCUGAUCUUGGAAACUAAGCAUGGUCAGGCUGGAUUAGUAUUCAGAUGGGAGAAGAGAAUUACUAAGUCCAGCCCACAC